rnacentral:rRNA from 1 species
UACGGAGGGGGCGAGCGUUAUUCGGAAUUAUUGGGCGUAAAGGGCGCGUAGGCGGCUUGAUAAGUCAAAGGUGAAAUCCCUCGGCUCAACUGAGGAACUGCCUUUGAAACUGCCAAGCUCGAGGCCGGGAGGGGGUAGCGGAAUUCCCAGUGUAGCGGUGAAAUGCGUAGAUACUGGGAGGAACACCGGUGGCGAAGGCGGCUACCUGGACCGGUUCUGACGCUGAUGCGCGAAAGCGUGGGUAGCAAACAGG